rnacentral:rRNA from 1 species
CCUACGGGAGGCUGCAGUGGGGAAUAUUGCACAAUGGGGGAAACCCUGAUGCAGCGACGCCGCGUGAGUGAAGAAGGAUCUCGGUAGGAAAAGGUCGAUCAGCAGGGAAGAAAAUGACGGUACCUGACUAAGAAGCCCCGGCUAACGACGUCCCAGCAGCCGCGGUAAUACGUAGGGGGCAAGCGUUAUCCGGAGUGACGGGGUGUAAAGGGAGCGUAGACGGCAGCGCAAGUCAGUAGUGAAAUGCCGGGGCGCAACCCCGGAACUGCUUUGGAAACUGUGCAGCUCGAGUGCAGGAGAGGUAAGCGGAAUUCCUGGUGUAGCGGUGAAAUGCGUAGAUAUUAGGAGGAACCCCAGUGGCGAAGGCGGCUUACUGGACUGUAACUGACGUUGAGGCUCGAAAGCGUGGGGAGCAAACAGGAUUAGAUACCCGUGUAGUC